rnacentral:lncRNA from 1 species
AAUUGAAUUUGGGCCUUUCUUGGGCCAAAUUCGCUACUGUUUUUGGGAAUUUUACUCAAUCCCGUUUUUGUAUACACUUGAUGUAGAUCAGUGUAUAUCGGCAUGUAUAUCAGCCCUUUUCAUGUAUAUCUUUCUUCCAAACUCAUGUAUUUCGCAUCAGCCCUGUAUCCCUGCGUUUUUGGCCUGUAUAUUGACGUAUACUGAAUGUAUACAGUGUAUAAUGGAUGUAUAUAGUCCAUCUUAGGACUUUUGGAGGCUUGUAUCUGGGUUUCCAGCCUUUGUGUAUUCGUUCAACUGCCUAUAACCUGUUCAUCGGCUAUUUUUAGACUCGAUAAAGGGAAGCAUAAUCCCCGAAAUGCAAGGAUAGGAAUGGAGUCCCCAUGGACUCAAGUGGCAUUCGCACAUAACGGAAGAAAGAAGAAAAUAUAUUAGUACGAUUCAAAGAAAAAGAAAACUUUCAUGACAUAAGAAAUAACCAUUUUUACUUGGGAUGGUAAAGAAAAUAAAAUAUAUUCAAGUAAGGGAAUUCGAAACAAAAAGUGAACAAAUGAAACAACUCUCAAGCAUAACUAUUUAGAAUUUAAAAUCAAAAGCACCUGUCCACUUAAAUAUACUUCCCUUUCCCAGAUAACAAAGAACAUAAACAACAUCAAAUAUAAACCUUUCUUAAGCUCAAAUAACCUCAAGAGAUAGAUGUGUUUAGCGUACCAAGAAGUGAUUAAACCACAAAGAUGAGCAUACCAAACAAAUAUGACUAUAUGAAAUGAGCAAUAGUGACAAGUUGGGAACAAGAAAUGAUUUUGGAGCACUUGUAUUUUUGGGGCAGCAGCUUACUGCUAAUCUCAGUCCCUCUUUUUAGAACAUUAUAACCAUGAUACACACUCUCCAGAAGCUAUAAACAACAAGCAAAAAAUUUCUUUUCUUUUUUUUUUUAAAAUUUAAAUCUAGGCGGAAUGAAGAUACGAGCAUGAAUCAAGCGGAACCCAUUGUUAGAGGACUAUCUCGAGAUAAAUAAAAAAAAGAGAAAAUACGAACUAUUGCAUCCAAUGCAUAACAGACACAGCAACAUUCAAUCUCCGUAUUAACUAGCUUCGAGAUUACGAAACAACUCUAAAAAAAAAAAAAACAAUGAACCCAAGAGCAUGUCUCAUGCUUCAAACAACUAAGACAAUGUUUAACUUGAAAACUAAACACUCCACUAUCAGACUUCAGCUGCAAGCUACAAAUAACAGGGAUGCAAGCUAAGAAAGAUAGAAACAAACGAGAGCCCUAGUUCACGAACAAAAUAUCAACUAAAACAACUAAAAUCAAAGACAUUUACCUUUGAGAGAGCAGCGAAACAGGGGUGAGACGAGCAGCCACGAAGACGAUUUCACCACCAAAAGGAGAUUACAAAGACUCCUACAAAUGAGCAGGGGAAUCACACUAUGAUCACACUGAUCUAUUAUUUGUUUCGAAUAUGUUUAGUGUGUAUUUUACGAUUUUUGCUUGAAUUCUUUAGGUUCUUUUUGGUUCCCCCAAAAUCCCACCUUGAACAAUGGAGAAGGAGGGGAUAUAUAUAGGGGAAAACUAGAGCUCAUGAUUUGAAAGAGACGGGUGAAUUUUUUGGAGUAGCUUGGGGCAAAAUCGUCAAUCCGGAUUCAACCUCUUUUGAAUUUUUCUCCCUCAAAGCUGUUGCUUGUAUCAAAUUUCAAACAAAAUCCCCCAAAAUUCGGAUGAAAAGAUCGAGGUGGGCGGCUGUUGCAGAGAAAGCUGUGGGAGUUGUUGGACUGGCAGAUUUGUGUAGAAGAAGAAGAUGUGCAGGGGUCGGCUAC